GGGGGUAUAGCUCAAGCGGUAGCGCGCAUGCUUAGCAUGCAUGAGGUCUUGGGUUCAAUCCCCAGUACCUCCU
rnacentral:tRNA from 1 species